rnacentral:rRNA from 1 species
UGGGGAAUUUUGGACAAUGGGCGAAAGCCUGAUCCAGCAAUGCCGCGUGUGUGAAGAAGGCCUUCGGGUUGUAAAGCACUUUUGUCCGGAAAGAAAUCCUUGGCUCUAAUACAGUCGGGGGAUGACGGUACCGGAAGAAUAAGCACCGGCUAACUACGUGCCAGCAGCCGCGGUAAUACGUAGGGUGCAAGCGUUAAUCGGAAUUACUGGGCGUAAAGCGUGCGCAGGCGGUUUGCUAAGACCGAUGUGAAAUCCCCGGGCUCAACCUGGGAACUGCAUUGGUGACUGGCAGGCUAGAGUAUGGCAGAGGGGGGUAGAAUUCCACGUGUAGCAGUGAAAUGCGUAGAGAUGUGGAGGAAUACCGAUGGCGAAGGCAGCCCCCUGGGCCAAUACUGACGCUCAUGCACGAAAAGCGUGGGGAAGCAAAACAGGAUUAGAUACCCUGGUAGUCCACGCCCUAAAACGAUGUCAACUAGUUGUUGGGGAUUCAUUUCCUUAGUAACGUAGCUAACGCGU